rnacentral:rRNA from 1 species
AUUGAACGCUGGCGGCAUGCCUUACACAUGCAAGUCGAACGGUAACAGGUCUUCGGAUGCUGACGAGUGGCGGACGGGUGAGUAAUACAUCGGAACGUGCCCGAUCGUGGGGGAUAACGAGGCGAAAGCUUUGCUAAUACCGCAUACGAUCUACGGAUGAAAGCGGGGGAUCUUCGGACCUCGCGCGGGCGGAGCGGCCGAUGGCGGAUUAGGUAGUUGGUGGGAUAAAAGCUUACCAAGCCGACGAUCUGUAGCUGGUCUGAGAGGAUGAUCCGCCACACUGGGACUGAGACACGGCCCAGACUCCUACGGGAGGCAGCAGUGGGGAAUGUUGGACAAUGGGCGAAAGCCUGAUCCAGCCAUGCCGCGUGCAGGAUGAAGGCCUUCGGGUUGCAAACUGCUUUUGUACGGAACGAAAAGCCUCUUUCUAAUAAAGAGAGGUCAUGACGGUACCGUAAGAAUAAGCACCGGCUAACUACGUG